UACGGGGGGAGCAAGCGUUGUUCGGAUUUACUGGGCGUAAAGGGCGCGUAGGCGGCGUGGCAAGUCACUUGUGAAAUCUCCGGGCUUAACUCGGAACGGUCAAGUGAUACUGCUGUGCUAGAGUGCGGAAGGGGCAACUGGAAUUCUUGGUGUAGCGGUGAAAUGCGUAGAUAUCAAGAGGAACACCUGCGGCGAAGGCGGGUUGCUGGGCCGACACUGACGCUGAUGCGCGAAAGCUAGGGGAGCGAACGGG
rnacentral:rRNA from 1 species